rnacentral:rRNA from 1 species
UGGCUCAGGAUGAACGCUGGCGGCGUGCCUAACACAUGCAAGUCGAACGGGGUAUAUAAGCGGAAGUUUACGGAUGGAAGGUUAUAUACUUAGUGGCGGACGGGUGAGUAACGCGUGGGCAACCUGCCCCGUGCCGGGGGAUACCGCCUGGAAACAGGCGCUAAUACCGCAUAAGCGCAUACAGCCGCAUGGGUGUAUGCGGAAAGCUCCGGCGGCACGGGAUGGGCCCGCGCCCGAUUAGCCAGUUGGCGGGGUAACGGCCCACCAAAGCGACGAUCGGUAGCCGGCCUGAGAGGGCGGACGGCCACAUUGGGACUGAGACACGGCCCAAACUCCUACGGGAGGCAGCAGUGGGGAAUAUUGCACAAUGGGGGAAACCCUGAUGCAGCAACGCCGCGUGGGUGAAGGAGCGUUUCGGCGCGUAAAGCCCUGUCAGCGGGGAAGAAGAAAGACGGUACCCGACCAAGAAGCCCCGGCUAACUACGUGCCAGCAGCCGCGGUAAUACGUAGGGGGCGAGCGUUAUCCGGAAUUACUGGGUGUAAAGGGAGCGUAGACGGCGAGGUAAGCCUGAAGUGGAAGCCCGCGGCCCAACCGCGGAACUGCUUUGGGAACUGUUUUGCUGGAGUAUGGGAGGGGUAAGCGGAAUUCCUGGUGUAGCGGUGAAAUGCGUAGAUAUCAGGAGGAACACCGGUGGCGAAGGCGGCUUACUGGACCAUAACUGACGUUGAGGCUCGAAAGCGUGGGGAGCGAACAGGAUUAGAUACCCUGGUAGUCCACGCCGUAAACGAUGAUUACCAGGUGUCGGGUGUCGAAGGACGGCCGGUGCCCGCAGCGAACGCAGUAAGUAAUCCACCUGGGGAGUACGUUCGCAAGAAUGAAACUCAAAGGAAUUGACGGGGACCCGCACAAGCGGUGGAGCAUGUGGUUUAAUUAGAAGCAACGCGAAGAACCUUACCCGGCCUUGACAUCCCCUUGACAGUAUCUGUAAUGGAUAUUUCCUUCGGGACAGGGGAGACAGGUGGUGCAUGGUUGUCGUCAGCUCGUGUCGUGAGAUGUUGGGUCAAGUCCCGCAACGAGCGUAACCCCUGCCCCCAGUAGCCAGCAUUUAAGAUGGGCACUCUGGGGGGACUGCCGGGGAUAACCCGGAGGAAGGCGGGGAUGACGUCAAAUCAUCAUGCCCCUUAUGGCCGGGGCUACACACGUGCUACAAUGGCGUAAACAGAGGGAGGCGAGACAGCGAUGUUAAGCGAACCCAAAAAUAACGUCCCAGUUCGGAUUGCAGCCUGCAACUCGGCUGCAUGAAGCUGGAAUCGCUAGUAAUCGCGGAUCAGAAUGCCGCGGUGAAUACGUUCCCGGGUCUUGUACACACCGCCCGUCACACCAUGGGAGUCGGGAACGCCCGAAGCCGGUGACCGAACCCGAAAGGGGAGGAGCCGUCGAAGGCGGGCCUGGUGACUGGGGUGAAGUCGUAACAAGGU